rnacentral:rRNA from 1 species
AUUGAACGCUGGCGGCAUGCCUUACACAUGCAAGUCGAACGGCAGCGGGGACUUCGGUCCGCCGGCGAGUGGCGAACGGGUGAGUAAUGCAUCGGAACGUACCCGGAAGUGGGGGAUAACGUAGCGAAAGUUACGCUAAUACCGCAUAUUCUGUGAGCAGGAAAGAGGGGGAUCUUCGGACCUCUUGCUUUCGGAGCGGCCGCUGUCAGAUUAGCUAGUUGGUGAGGUAAAGGCUCACCAAGGCGACGAUCUGUAGCGGGUCUGAGAGGAUGAUCCGCCACACUGGAACUGGGACACGGUCCAGACUCCCACGGGAGUCAGCAGUGGGGAAUUUUGGACAAUGGGCGCAAGCCUGAUCCAGCCAUGCCGCGUGAGUGAAGAAGGCCUUCGGGUUUUAAAGCUCUUUCGGCCGGGAAGAAAUCGCAUGGAUUAAUACUCUGUGCGGAUGACGGUACCGGCAUAAGAAGCACCGGCUAACUACGUGCCAGCAGCCGCGGUAACAC